UUACACAAGUGGCAAAUGGUGCAUGUUUUGUCAGGCAAAAAAGCCUCGCCAAACAUGGAUGGAACUGGGGACAUGGGUGUCAGAAAAAGGUUCCCAAGAAAGUUCAUCGAUUGGCACUUGUCGGAGAGUUGAUGCCUUCACCACUUUGGACAGCGUAUCCUGCAAUGCGUUCUUUUCCCAAUGAUAAUGCCAUGUUCUUCAUCUACAGCUGCGUUUCCAUGGUGGGCUUGGCUGGGGACAAAAGCAAUGGAGAUCUAUGAUCGUGUCAUGUCGCAGAAGAAGAAGCCCAAGCAGUGCGUGCUUGAGACAAUCAAUCGAACAAAUGAGAGGUGAUUUGCGUCCCGUCCCAAAUCGCAGAUCCAUGAAGUGACACGCGAAGCAGGGAGAUAUGGUGACAACGGUGGAGGAUCACGCUAGCCUCCUCUCCUCGGCCAAUCAUCGGCGCCUACUCCAAAUGCGCGAGGUGGAUACGCACCCGUAAGGUGUUCGAUGCAAUGCCUCACAGAAACGUCGUCUCUUGGGAUGAACUCGUUGAAGGGGGAACCAAGACCACCACGAUAUCUACAGAGCGCCCAUCUUUCUCUCGACCUCUAAGGAGGACUUCUUUACCACAGUUACACAAAGGGCUUAUCCGUACGCUCCUCAGUCGCUUACCUGACUCCUUCCGUCAAUCACUUGACCUCAGUAAGUUGGCACCUCAUCUAUGCAGGCCCAUAAAAUAACUUAUGCCAUCCAUUUUAAAGCCUUUAACUCUUAUCAUUGUACGAAUCAUUGUACAAAAGGUAUUAUGACCAGUUCAGUUCGGAUUAAAUUGUCCGACCACCUCGGCUCGCAUCGAUGCAGCCCAAUCGGCUCAGGUCAAGCCGAAUUGCUCGAGUAGCCCAACUUUGGCUCACAUGGGCCCAUCUUGGCCCAAGUCUACCAUGCCUUCUUUCUUUAAGAAAGGAAAAGGCUUUUGUACCUCCUAAGGUUUAAAUCUAAAAUCUUUUACCACCACAUUACUUCAUCACUUUUGUUUAAGAAUACAAUAUAAAUGUACAUGGUUAUAUUGAUGCAUCCGACAACCCCAUGGCAUUUAAUUUGCAUGAGACGCAUCCCCUUUGUACAUGAUGCUCCUACCCAAGACAAAAUGCCAUCCAAGGUAUCCAAUGUGACAAAUGUGUCCACCUUGUGCAUUAUUUAUUUACUUAAGACAAAUACAUGAUGCAACCCAAGGUACUCCCUUUGUGCAUGUUGUAUCCACCAAGUAUAGAAACAUUUGAGGCACUUGACUCAUCGUAAAGUGUUUCUUUGUACAUGAUGCAUCCACCUAAGACAGCAUUCCAAGUACAUGACACAUCCUGAAGCUUUGGAAAAGAAACUAACCGAAAUACAAGUACACAUUCUUAAAUUUAAAUGAUAGUCGUUGACCGUAACAAUCAGAAACAUCGUUUUUGUUACAAUCCAUCUCACUAAGUUAUGGCAUCAUAUAGAGCUCCUUAUGCCAUGCUUGCUCAAAGCAUGUUCUUUUGCCUGGAGUUGUCUUUCAUGCAUGCAUAUUUGAGUGCAUAUAUGUGGCAAUAUCUCUACCAUACAACUAUUCUUUCCCUUCGAAAGCAGUUCUUUGCUAUCCUUUAUUCUUAGCACUUCAACUUGCUAUUACACUUUGCUAGUGAAGCAAGAAAGCACUCCUAGUUGACCAUCUAAAGUUGUUAAACUUUCUUGGUCUCCUGAUAAUGCAGUAUAAAGAAAUCAUCAUACCAAUAUGUGGCUUCUAUUCUAUUGUCAAGCUAAUCUUUCAUCCCUGAGCAUUGUGAAAAAGUAGUAGUAUAGGCUACUUCAGAAGUUAAUUCAGUGUCACACUUUUAUAGCAAUGUUUACAAUUCUUGAAGAGCUUUGUGGUUGUCAUUCUGCAUCUAAAGUUUUGGUUAUAACCCACCAAGGUGCUCUGUGUUCUUGUAUAGCAUGACAAAAUGCUCAAUGAGAAGUGAUAUCUUGUUAUUGUUCAGUUCAAAUUUCUCUUUUUUUUAAAAAAAAUUCAAGUUAAAACAUCAAAUAUUCAUGGAACAUCAUAUGAUCAUUCAUUUCAUCUUCUCUUCUUUCAGUUUGAUUGCGUUACUUGUUAAAGAAUUUUCCAUAAUCAUGUCUUCCCUGGUACAAGUUGGACAAAUCACAUAGCUUGCAGAGGGAAUAGAUUUUAGGUGACAAGUUGAGUAUCACUUGAUUAGCUUUCAAGCAAUUUGAGAGGUCAGCAAGCUAUUUGUGAUUUCAUUUAUUUCAUGGCAGGAAGCUUCUACAGAAAUAAAGGAACAGCAGGUAAAUAGGUUAGUGGAACCCAGAUGGAUUAGUUGUCAUAUAUAAAGCAUGCUUAGUGGCCAAAGGGUUUCAUCAACGAUCAUGUGUUCACUUCAUAGAGAUAUUUAGUCUAGUUGUUAAACCAACAACAAUCUAACUUUUCUUGAGUUUGGCUAUUAUAAAAUAAUAGCACAUACGACAAUUGGAUGUUAAUAAUGCUUUCUUAUAAGGUAUCCUCACUAAAGAUGUUUUUAUAUAGCAACCUCCUAGUUUUAUCCAUCUUCAAUAUCCAAGGUAUAUUUGUAAACUAUAAAAAAUUAUUUAUGGACUUUAUCAAGCUCCAAGCUUGGUAUACUGAACUUGUUUUUGGCAUCAAGUGGCUUCAGCAACUCUAAGUCUAACAUUUCCUUAUUUUUACGACAACAAAAUGGAAGUACAAUAUAUCUGCACAUGUGGAUGACAUUAUCGUUAUAAGAAAUAAUCCUAUAGAGAUCAAGGAAUUCCUCAAGCAGUUGACAGAUUGAUUCUCCAUCAAGGAUCUAAGAAUAUUAAACUACUUUCUGAUAGUGGAAGAAAUAUACACAUCUUCAGGACUCUUUCUAUCUCAAAGGAAGUAUAUUCAAGAUUUAUUAUCUAAGACAAAUAUGCAGAAUGCUAAAUAGGUUGUCACUCCACUCUCUACUACUGAAUCGCUCAAAUUAUAUGAUGACAACCCUACUAUGAAUCAUACAAAAUACUGAUAAGUACUUUGCUCCUUACGGUACUUAUCUUUAUGCAUCGACCCUCCACUACACAUUGGUCUACAGUAAAACGAGUCCUGCGAUAUCUCAAAGGGACUUUCAAUCUUGGACUUAUCCUUCCUAUAUACUCUUACUUUAUUUUUAUGCCUUUAUCGAUAGUGAUUGGAUAAGAAACAUUGAUGAUAGAACAUCUACGUCAGGUUAUAUUAUCUUCCUUGAUGCAAAUUCAAUCAGUUAGAAUUCUAGGAUAUAGAAGACAAUCAUAAGGUCCACAACCGAAGUUGAAUAUUGAGUCAUAGCCACCACUAUUGCAGAACUCAACUAAGUCACCAAUAUGCUAUAGGAACUUGAUGUGAACUCUACAUUUACUCAUACAAUAUAUUGUGAUAAUGUCGGUGUCACCUGUCAAUCCAGUGUUUCACUCACGCAUGGAACACAUUGUUAUCGACUUCCACUUCAUCAAAGACCAAGUUAUCAAAUAUCAACUACGUGUUUCUCACGUAUAUAUUGCUGAUCAACUAGUAGACUCUCUCAUAAAGCCUCUUGCCCGUAAAAUAUUUUCAUUAUAUCGAUCUAAGAUUGGGAUCCUAGACAGGAGUUCAAUCUUGCAAGGGCAUAAUAGAAGAUUAGGAUCAUGAUAAAUUUAGAGUAACUAACUGAUCUUCAUAAGAUAACAAUAGAGAAAAUUUCUCUCUCAUAACUCCCUCUAAAUUUAUAUAAAUAUUGUCUAAAUUAGCAUAUCUUCAUAAGAUGAGAUAUACUAACUUCUUGGCAUCUUAUUUUAUCAGUUGCUUGUUUGUAUCCAAAGUGUUGAGGUGCUUUUUCCAGCUAUAAGAAAUGCAGGGAUUGAUACAAAGCAGAGAGAUAUGCAAGAAUCCUGGAUUAUGAUGGUUUACUGGAGUAAAAUCUGG